AAUGAACGCUGGCGAUGAGCUUAACACAUGCAAGUCAAACACUGCGGGAGAUUUCCCGUGGGGUGGCGAACGGGUGAGUAACGCGUAAGAACCUACCCCGUAAUACGGGUAAUCCCGUAUAAUUAAAAAAGGCAUAGUACCGUUAUGGGAUGGGCUUGCGUAGGAUUAGGUAGUUGGUGGGAUAAGGGCCCACCAAGCCAAAGAUCCUUAGCUGAUUUGAGAGGAUGAUCAGCCACACUGGGACUGAGACACGGCCCAGACGUCUCCGGGCGGCAGCAGUGAGGAAUAUUAGACAAUGAGCGAAAGCUUGAUCUAGCUACAUCGCGUGGGUGAAGAAGGCUGAUUGGUCGUAAAGCCCGUAGUUAAAAGGUAGAUUAUGACACACUUUUAAUAAGUAGUCCCGGCCAACUCUGUGCCAGCCGCCGCCGUAACAC
rnacentral:rRNA from 1 species